rnacentral:rRNA from 1 species
UACAGAGGUCUCAAGCGUUGUUCGGAUUCAUUGGGCGUAAAGGGUGCGUAGGCGGCGCGGUAAGUCGGGUGUGAAAUCUCGGAGCUUAACUCCGAAACUGCAUUCGAUACUGCCGUGCUUGAGGACUGGAGAGGAGACUGGAAUUUACGGUGUAGAGGUGAAAUUCGUAGAUAUUCGGAAGAACACCAGUGGCGAAGGCGGCUCACUGGACCGGUAUUGACGCUGAGGUGCGAAAGCGUGGGGAGCAAACAGG